rnacentral:tRNA from 1 species
GAGUAUAUAGCUCAAGGGGUAGAGUGCAUGCAUGGCAUGCAUGAGGUCUUGGGUUCAAUCCCUAGUACUUCCU